rnacentral:lncRNA from 1 species
AUGCCUGUCACUGUUGAUAACAUGAUGACAAAGGAAGAACUGACAAAAUGGCCAUAUUUAUCAAAGGUCAAUUUUGCAACCAUAACAGCGGAUGUGGACUUGCUGAUUGGAACCAAUGCGUCUAAACUGCUGGAACCCUGGGAAGUCAUUAUUAGUUGUGGAAAUGGUCCGCAUGCUAUUGAGACAGUAUUAGGAUGGGUGGUUAGUUGUACACUGAAUGGUAACAGUGAUAUCUUAAAAGAUGAACCUCUCACAGCCGCAGUGAACAGAAUUUCUGUGUGCAAAUUGGAAGAAAUGUUGGCAAACCAAUAUAAUCAUGAGUUCAAUGAGAAAAUCAUGGAGGGGAGUGAAAUGUCCCAAGAAGAUCUCCAGUUUAUGGAAAGCAUGGAUCGUUCAGCAGUGUUGCAAGGGAAGCAAUAUUGUUUAAAGUUGCCCUUUAAAGACAAAGAAGUACUUUUACCAAACAAUCUUGCAGUAGUCAAACAAAGGAUGCAAGUUUUGAAGAAAAAACUCUUGAAAACCAAACAGCUGCACCAAGGGUACAUAGAGUACAUGGAUACAAUCUGCAAAAAACAAUAUGCAGAGCAAGUACCUCACCAAGAUCUGCACUGUGAACAAGGAAAGGUUUGUUACAUUCCGCAUCAUGGUGUUUUCCAUCCGAAAAAUAAAUACCUUCGUGUGGUGUUUGAUUGUGGAGCUACAUUUCAAGGUGUAUCCUUGAUCAGUAAGCUGUUGCCUGGGCCAAAUCUCACAAGCUCUCUACUUGGAGUUUUACUUCGAUUUAGAAAGGAGCCAGUUGCCUACAUGGGUGACAUUCAAGCCAUGUUUUAUCAAGUGAAGGUUGCAGUUGAAGACAGAGAUUUUCUUCGCUUUCUCUGUUGGCCAGAAGGAGACCUCACUCAGGAGCUCUUGCAAUAUCGUAUGACUGAGCAUCUGUUUGGCGCUACAUCAUCUCCAAGUUGUGCAUGUUAUGCACUAAGAAAAACUGCAGAUGACAAUCAGUCUGAGUAUCCUGAGGAGGUUAGUCAAUCUAUAAAACAGAACUUUUAUGUGGACGACUGUCUCAAAAGUUCUCCCAGCAAAGAAGAGGCAAUCCAAAUGAUAAAGGAUUUAAGCCGCUUAUGUGAAAAGGGUGGUUUUGUGUUGGACAAGUGGAGCUGCAAUAGCAGAACAGUGCUACAAUCCUUUGCAGAAGAUUUCAGAGCCAAGAGCUUAAAGGAUCUGGACCUGGAACAAACAGAACUUCCUGUUGAAAGGACCCUUGGCCUUCAGUGGUGCAUGGAAACUGACACCUUUAAGUUCAAGAUGGAGAUGAAACAGCAAUCCUUUACCAGGCGUGGUGUGCUGUCAACUAUCUGUUCGGUGUAUGAUCCACUGGGUUUUUUGGCACUGAUUGUUCUGCUCUCCAAAAUAAUGCAGCAAGAACUCUGUAGGAGACACAGUGGAUGGGAUGAUGAUCUACCUAAAGACAUUGAUAGGUAA